rnacentral:lncRNA from 1 species
AACAAUGCUUAAUUUUAUAUUUUUUUAGUUCAGUGUCUAUCAGCAUCAAUGCAUUAGCAACUGUAACUUUAGAAGAUUUCAUUAAGCCUUAUUUCACACUGUCUGAAGAAAAGUUAUCAUAUAUUGCCAUGGGAAUAAGUCUAUUAUUUGGUAUAGUAUGUCUAUCCAUGGCUGCAUUAGUAUCUGUUAUGGGUGCUUUAUUACAGGCUGCAUUCAGUGUUUUUGAAUUAAUUGGAGGACCUUUGUUAGGAAUAUAUUCUUU